UCUUCCGUAGUACAGUGGUCAGUAUAUGAGCUUGUCAUUCGAUUUCGCUCGGGACCCGGGUUCAAUUCCCGGCGGGAGAG